GGGGGGGGAGAGAAGCCAAGAUGACAUGGAAGAAAGACGUGGAGACUGUGGGCAUUGAUGGCAUACGAGAUACAAGACCGGGUGAAGUGAAGUAGACUAUGCAGAACAUGCAGCAUGGGUGGAUGGAGACUAUUAAAAUGGUUAUACUUAUUUCUCAAACUCAUAAAUAAUUCCGCCAUUGUGAUAUUGUGAUAUACUGAUCGUCUAUAAAUGUUGCGUUGAUUUUCUCUCACUUUAAAUACAGACAACUGGUUUGUUGGAAAACUGUCGGUCGCAAUACACGCUUCCGGAAAGUAUAUCAGUUUCGUGAAGUGACAUUAUAACUUUGCCUAAUGAGUAAUAUGGCUGAUAUCUCAAUCACGAAAAUACAAUGGUUCUAUAUAGCUUAGGUGACGUACUCUCCAGAAGUGUGUAUAUUGUAUCCUACACUCGAACUCGUAUAUUAUGAUUUUAACUGAUUAUCUCGUACAUGAAAGCGCUUUAAAAACUUGCCGGAUAGCGUCGUUUUGUGAUUUCACUGCGCACGACUGACUUCUCGACUCGUACAUGCCAGAGUGACAAUUGUCAGUUACAAACUAAAAUCUGCAUGCAUCAGGCAAUGUACCCUGUUUCUAAGAUCAAUCUGGAAUUGAAAAUGGGGC